UAUGGAUGUCCUGCAGAAGCUAGGUUCUUCAUCACAGAGCUGGCCAAGAAAUCAGAGAAGCUGAAUGAUUCAGGAGAAUGCAGAGCAAUUGCAGGUGAAGCCCUGCUUCAGGAUAAAUGUGGAGCCAGGCACUGAAGACUAGCACAUUCAAAAGCAGCUGGAUGUAUGAGGGACAUUAGAACAUCACUGUACAAGCUCAGGGAAAGCCCAGGCUCAGAAAGGGCCUAAGAAUACCCUUAAGUUCAUGCUUCAGUCUGAUCCUUGGCACAGAGAUAGUGUUCAACAAACAACAAACAAAAACAAAAUAAAAAAAAAACCAGCAAACUUUGAGGAAGGGAGAGAAUCUGAUUUCUAGAGUUAACAUACCAUUAGAUUAAAAUGUCAGAUUUCCACAAAAAAUCACAAGGCAUAUAAAGAAACAGGAAUGCAUGGCUCAUUCAAAAGAAAAAACUAAACUGACAGAAACUGUUCUUAGAAAACACCUGAUGGCAGAUCUACUAGACAAAGGCUUUAAAACAACUGUCUUAAAGAUGCUCAAAGAAGUAAAGGAAGACAUGGAGAAAGUCAAGAAAAUGGUAUAUAAACAAAAUGGAAAUAUCAACAAUGUGAUAGAAAACCUAAACACAAACUGCAAAGAAAUUCUGGAACUGAAGAGUACAAUAACUGAAAUGAAACAUUCACUAGAAAGAUUCAAAUGCAGAUUUGAGUAUUUGAGCAGACAGAAGAAAGGAUCAACAAACUCAACAAACUUGAAGAUAGGAUAAUGGAAAGUACUGACUUGAGUAACACAAAGAAAUAAGAGUGAGGAAAAAUUAACAGAGCCUAAUGGACCUGUGUGAUAUAAUCAAGCUAACCAAUAUAUGCAUUGCAUGGGUCACAGAAGGAGAACAGAGAGAAGGAGAAGAGAGGCUAUUUGAAAAAUAAUGGCCAAGAACUUCUCAAAAGUAAUGAAAGACAUAAAUAUAAACAUUCAAGAAGGUAAACUAACUCCAAGUAGGAUUAACUCAAAGAGACCCAUAUUGAGACACAUUACAAUCAAACUGUUGAAAACCAAAAAAAGACAGAAAGCAGCAAGAGAGAAGCAACUUGUUAUACACAAGGAAUCCUCAAUAAGAUUUUCAGCAGAUUUCUCAUGAGAAAGUCUGGAGGCCAGCAGAAGUGGGAUGAUAUAUUUUAAGUGCUGAAAGAAAAAAACCUGUCAACCAAGAAUCUUGUAUCUGGCAAAACUGUCCUUCAAAAGUGAGGAAGAAAUUAAGACAUUUCAGAUAAACAAAAACAGAAGGAGUUUAUUACCACUAGAGCUGCCCUACAAGAAAUGCUCCAGGGAGUCCUGCAGGAUGAAAUGAAGGGACACUAGAUGGUAACUUGAAGUCAUAUGAAGAAAUAAAGGUCUUAGUUGAGGUAAGUACGUG
rnacentral:lncRNA from 1 species